UGGGAAGAAGAGGAAUAUAGUACAACCCAAUUUGAUGGUUCCACCACCAAACAUUAAUUUGGUUGGUUGUAAUGUCUACGGUGGCCUGCAUUGAAUCCAUUCCUAUUCUGGGAAGAGGCUGCAUAGCCAUUCCUUUCCCUCACCGCUGAAUAGGCAUUGAAUAGGAUUUUUUUUUUCCUUUUUAAUUUUUGCCCUCACCUUUACCCUUCUCCUUCAACCCGAUAGCCCUUCUCACCAGCUAUAAUCCCUCAUUCUUUCUUCUUUUUCUUUUACUCACUCGAUACAUGAAGAGAGAAAAAGAAAAAUAGGGAAUUUGUUGAUAAAAUGAUGAGAAAUAUUUUUAUGGAAGGGAAGGGAGGUUUGAAAUGGGUAGUAUUAUUGGAUUUUCUUUCGAUAUCGCCAACCACUGCUAUUCGAUACCAUUGAAACGUCACUGCUUUCAGUUGGGAUCCAAGUUUGUUGUUGUUGAUAUCUAGUCAAUACAAUCAUGCUCGGCAACAGUAGAGUUCGCUUCUCCUUAUGUGCACUUCUUCAAUCGCACUUCAUGACCAUGAUCCUUUGUUCUCAAUUUUCUCUUGGGUCUCGCUCGCAGAUCCACCACCACAACCAAAAUUGAUUUCCUAGCUUCUGUUUCUCUUCUCAAUGGAUUCCAUUUCUCGCCUCGCUGUCGUCAUCGACAAUGGCACUGGAAGGCUGGAAAGAACGAGCAUCACUUGUGGAAGAAAAGAGAUUCAGCUGGCUCUGGACAAACGGCAUUCAAUUUUGAUAGAAUUGGUUAUUGUUCCUUCUACAACCAUGGAAGACUUUUGCUACUCAUCAAUAACUCCAUUUGCAGCUUCAACCAACCUUGCUUUAUUCUGCGAGUGGCUACUUGAACCAAACUUACUUUAUUCUAGAUACAAUAUGCAAAGACAAAGUCAAAUUGUAUCGCCAAAAAUGAUGGAAGCUUUUUUCCCAGAGGAAAGAAGAAGAAGCAAGAAGAAAAAGGUGACAAAGUGAAUGUUGAGCAAAGGACAAUGAGCUAUGAUGGGAACAUAAGACACCCUUCUACUUGAUUCUUUUGCAAAACCUCAAGACUCUAUUGCAAGAACUGACAGUGGAUCACAGGCAUUUAAUGUUCCACAAUUGGGAUCCAAAACUGUUUCCAGAUGUUUAAAUUCAUCACUGAAGCUUCUAAUGAGCAGUUGUUCUUUUUUACUCUUUAACUGUUUUCACAAUGACAUGCGUUUGAGUGUUUGAGGUUGGAGCAAUGAAUGAUUGGAGCAACAGAGAUAAAGAUGGGGUUUGACCUUUAGGAAGUGAGAGCCAGGAGACUAAGAAUAGGGUUUUUAUUUUCUAAUGAACCUUUUGUUUUUUUGUUUGUGAUCUAUUAUUUUGGAAAAUCCUUCAUUUGUUAGAAGAAAUGAAGAGAAGUCAAAUCUUGGGUCUUUAGGGGUUAUAUCAUUUGGUAUAAUUUGUUUAAUCAUUUCCUUUAAAACAAUCAUUAAUGCAAAGCUGUCUCAUUAACAUCACAUUUUCCAAUUCUAUAAUGUAGACAAACAAACAUUUUUGUUUCUUUUAGUUUUAGCUGAAAAAGAAAAAUAAAAAGAUGCACUUUUUCUUUUC